UCGGGUUCAAGUGAUUCUGAUGCCUCAGCCUCCUGAGUAGUUGGGAUUACAGGUGUGCGCCACCACACCCAGCUAAUUUUUUGUAUUUUUAUUAGAGAUGGGGUUUCGCUCGGUUGGCCAGGCUGGUCUCAAACUCCUGGCCUGAAGUGAUACGCCCACCUCUGCCUCCCAAAGUGCUGGGGUGACAGGUGUGAGCCACUGCACCUGGCCUUGAUUUUCAAUGAAUACUCUCUACUUAACAUAAAAUUCUAGGUGUCACAGUUAUCUAAAGGGAUGAAAACAGAGCACUUCCUAAUCAUAGAAAAUUCUCCAGAUUGUGAUUUAAAACUUUUAGCAGAAUCUUAGAAUUUCUAAAGACUGCAGGAAAGUGCCUAAGACAAGGCAGGAUUAUGAAAGCCAUUAUCACUUUCUAGCCUACAGUAAUGCUGGAUAAGAUAGAUAGAAUAUGACCUGCCUAAGUUUGAAAACCGGAACUUUAAGCAUUGUACGUUCUCAUAUAAUACAUUCUCAAUAUAAUAUCUGGCAUUUAGAAGCUUGGCU
rnacentral:lncRNA from 1 species